rnacentral:rRNA from 1 species
GAUGAACGUUGGCGGUGUGCCUAAUACAUGCAAGUCGAACGGAGACUGUAGCAAUACUGUCUUAGUGGCGAACGGGUGAGUAACGCGUUGGUGAUCUGCCUCGAAGUGUGGAAUAACCUCCCGAAAGGGAAGCUAAUACCGCAUAGUCUCUCAAGGUUUAGAAAAUUGAGAGUAAAGGAUUUAUUCGCUUCGAGAGGAGCCUGCGUCCCAUCAGCUAGUUGGUAGGGUAACGGCCUACCAAGGCAAUGACGGGUAGGGGACCUGAGAGGGUGGCCCCCCACAAUGGAACUGAAACACGGUCCAUACACCUACGGGUGGCAGCCAGUAGGGAAUAUUAGAAAUGGGCGAAGCCUGAUCUAGCAACACCGCGUGUGCGAUGAAGGCCUUCGGGUCGUAAAGCACUUUUUGGAGGGAAUAGGAAGGAAGGUACCUCCAGAAUAAGUCUCGGCUAACUACGUGCCAAGCCAGCCGCGGUAAUAUCACGUGUA